rnacentral:rRNA from 1 species
GGCGGCGUGCUUAACACAUGCAAGUCGAACGAACCUUCGGGUUAGUGGCGGACGGGUGAGUAACGCGUGGGAAUCUGCCCUCAGGAGGGGGAUAACGGUUGGAAACGACCGCUAAUACCCCAUAUGCCGAGAGGUGAAAUGAAUUUCGCCUGAGGAUGAGCCCGCGUCUGAUUAGCUUGUUGGUGAGGUAAUGGCUCACCAAGGCAUCGAUCAGUAGCUGGUCUGAGAGGAUGAUCAGCCACACUGGGACUGAGACACGGCCCAGACUCCUACGGGAGGCAGCAGUGGGGAAUUUUCCGCAAUGGGCGAAAGCCUGACGGAGCAACGCCGCGUGAGGGACGAAGGCCUCUGGGCUGUAAACCUCUUUUCUCAAGGAAGAAGAUAUGACGGUACUUGAGGAAUAAGCCACGGCUAAUUCCGUGCCAGCAGCCGCGGUAAUACGGGAGUGGCAAGCGUUAUCCGGAAUUAUUGGGCGUAAAGCGUCCGCAGGCGGCUUUUCAAGUCUGCUGUUAAAACGUGGAGCUUAACUCCAUCACGGCAGUGGAAACUGAUUGGCUUGAGUAUGGUAGGGGCAGAGGGAAUUCCCGGUGUAGCGGUGAAAUGCGUAGAUAUCGGGAAGAACACCAGUGGCGAAGGCGCUCUGCUGGGCCAUUACUGACGCUCAUGGACGAAAGCCAGGGGAGCGAAAGGGAUUAGAUACCCCUGUAGUCCUGGCCGUAAACGAUGAACACUAGGUGUCGGGGGAAUCGACCCCUUCGGUGUCGUAGCUAACGCGUUAAGUGUUCCGCCUGGG